CCUACGGGUGGCAGCAGUGAGGAAUAUUGGUCAAUGGGCGUAAGCCUGAACCAGCCAAGUCGCGUGAGGGAUGAAGGCUCUAUGGAUUGUAAACCUCUUUUAUCAGGGAACAAAGCGCGGGACGUGUCCCGUUCUGUAUGUACCCUAUGAAUAAGGAUCGGCUAACUCCGUGCCAGCAGCCGCGGUAAUACGGAGGAUGCGAGCGUUAUCCGGAUUUAUUGGGUUUAAAGGGUGCGUAGGCGGGCUUUUAAGUCAUGGGUGAAAGUCUGUGGCUCAACCAUAGAAUUGCCGUUGAAACUGGGAGUCUUGAGUAUGUGUGAGGCAGGCGGAAUGCGUGGUGUAGCGGUGAAAUGCUUAGAUAUCACGCAGAACCCCGAUUGCGAAGGCAGCGUGCC
rnacentral:rRNA from 1 species